rnacentral:misc_RNA from 1 species
GUGAAUCAUCGAAUCUUUGAACGCAUAUUGCGCUCUCUGGUAUUCCGGAGAGUAUGCCUGUUUGAGGGUAAUUAAAAACAAUCUUUAACCAAUUGUGUUGGUCAAAGGAAAUGAGCGCUCCGCGUUUAUAGCGGUAGCGUGGAAUAAAUGGUCAAGUCUCAUUUUAGUCGAGUCGCGUACUAAUAUUCUUUCUCGAAAUCUUCAUUAU